rnacentral:rRNA from 1 species
GAUGAACGCUAGCGGCAGGCUUAAUACAUGCAAGUCGAGGGGCAGCACAGUGUAGCAAUACAUGGGUGGCAACCGGCAAACGGGUGCGUAACACGUACACAACUUACCCUUUACUGGGGGAUAGCCCAGGGAAACUUGGAUUAAUACCCCAUAUUGCAAAUGACCGGCAUCGGUUGUUUGCCAAAGUUCCGACGGUAAAGGAUGGGUGUGCGGUUGAUUAGGUAGUUGGCGGGGUAACGGCCCACCAAGCCUACGAUCAAUAGCUGAUGUGAGAGCAUGAUCAGCCACACGGGCACUGAGACACGGGCCCGACUCCUACGGGAGGCAGCAGUAAGGAAUAUUGGGCAAUGGACGCAAGUCUGACCCAGCCAUGCCGCGUGAAGGAUGAAGGCCCUCUGGGUUGUAAACUUCUUUUAUCUGGGGCGAAAGGCGGUUAUUCUUAGCCGUUUGACAGUACCAGAGGAAUAAGCACCGGCUAACUCCGUG